AUCAUAAAGAUACGACAGAUUGUUAAAGGAAACUCCGGCUGUUUUACCCGCUAUUAUAACAACGUUUUCUAAACGAGAUUUCUUAACCAGAGAUAAGGAGCCGAACCAACAUUGGCACAAAAAAGUUUUAAAACAAAUUAAAACGGUUUCAACGAAACAAUGAUAAGAAAGGGAUAAUACACGUUCAGUAACGUCAAUAGUUCCCAACUUGCGCAGGUAUGUAGGCUGAUUGUGGGGCUGAUAGGUAGGCUGAUUGUGAGGCUGAUAGGUAGGCUGAUUGUUGGGCUGAUAGGUAGGCUGAUUGUGAGGCUGAUAGGUAGGUUGAUUGUGGGGCUGAUAUGUAGGCUGAUUGUGAGGCUGAUAGGUAGGCUGAUUGUGAGGCUGAUAGGUAGACUGAUUGUGAGGCUGAUAGGUAGGCUGAUUGUGAGGCUGAUAGGUAGGCUGAUUGUGGGGCUGAUAGGUAGGCUGAUUGUGAGGCUGAUAGGUAGGCUGAUUGUGGGGCUGAUAUGUAGGCUGAUUGUGGGGCUGAUAGGUAGGCUGAUUGUGAGGCUGAUAGGUAGACUGAUUGUGAGGCUAAUAGGUAGGCUGAUUGUGGGGCUGAUAGGUAGGCUGAUUGUGGGGCUGAUAGGUAGGCUGAUAAUGAGG